rnacentral:rRNA from 1 species
AGCGGCGGACGGGUGAGUAAUGCCUAGGAAAUUGCCCUGAUGUGGGGGAUAACCAUUGGAAACGAUGGCUAAUACCGCAUGAUGCCUACGGGCCAAAGAGGGGGACCUUCGGGCCUCUCGCGUCAGGAUAUGCCUAGGUGGGAUUAGCUAGUUGGUGAGGUAAGGGCUCACCAAGGCGACGAUCCCUAGCUGGUCUGAGAGGAUGAUCAGCCACACUGGAACUGAGACACGGCCCAGACUCCUACGGGAGGCAGCAGUGGGGAAUAUUGCACAAUGGGCGCAAGCCUGAUGCAGCCAUGCCGCGUGUGUGAAGAAGGCCUUCGGGUUGUAAAGCACUUUCAGUCGUGAGGAAGGUAGUGUAGUUAAUAGCUGCAUUAUUUGACGUUAGCGACAGAAGAAGCACCGGCUAACUCCGUGCCAGCAGCCGCGGUAAUACGGAGGGUGCGAGCGUUAAUCGGAAUUACUGGGCGUAAAGCGCAUGCAGGUGGUUUGUUAAGUCAGAUGUGAAAGCCCGGGGCUCAACCUCGGAUUUGCAUUUGAAACUGGCAGA